AAGGGUGACAGCCAAUCAAGGAUUCGACACAGAAGAGAUCAGAAAUCCCUCUCCGACUUGGAUUUCACUAUAUUAAAGAGAGGGGGGCAGCUCCUUUGACCUAGCUCCAAAUGCUUAGAACUGUUAAAUGCGAGUUGUUGCCCAUGUUUACAUGUGGAAUGGAGCACAGCCAUCCGACCACAAGACAGACCCAAAGCAAACAUCCCAAACCUGGGCUCUGGCAAGGCCUGCUGACAGAAUCGCCUGAAACCAGUCAUUCACAGAAAGCCAAAACAACAGCUUAGCAUUGGUGAAAAGUACCAAGGCUUGUUUUUUUACCUCCUGGGAAGAGGCCAUCGAAAGUGUCAGGAAGCAGCAACUGGCAAAAGAAAAUUCAGAUGCCUCUUCUGGUCUGUGAGGGCAUGCUGCUGGUUUCCCUGGACAACAUUUUACAUUACUGAAGUCAACGUGUUUGUUUUUCAAAUGAAAUUUCAGAGGCAGUAAAUGGAAUCUAUAUAUCCGUGUGCUUACAUAAUCCUCUCUCCAAAUGCUGUCAGAUACAAUCCCUAUCUCCGGAGGCUCCAAGUCAAAAAUAAAUUGCACCCCUAAGACAGCUGAUUAGGGAGGGAGAGGUGAGUAUUUUAAAGCAUUCCACCCACUAAUGAGCGGGUUCCUAUUUCCCCUGGGAGCAGACUUGGCUAGAUACAGCAGUAUGAAGAUCACUUCUUUAUUAGAAUUGUCUUGGCCUGUUUAAACUCAAGCAGGUGGGAUGUUGCAACUGUGGAAAGGACCUGACCCUUGUCUCUGCAGCAGCCCCAGGAGCCCUGGAGUGUCAGGGUGCUGUGCAGUAGUAGCUUGAUAACUGAUUUGGUUACUUCACUUUAAUUUGUUUGGGGGUCUGUUCAAUUAAAAAACAAAUUUCCAAUGGGCAGCUGGCUGUGGAAGGAGAAAGGCCUCAGCUAAUUUGUGGUGUCCUCAAAUAGCUAGCAGCAAUUCCUCAAUGUCAGGAAUACCUGUACUGUUGCUUUCCUGCUGUUGCCUAAUGAACUAUCUUAAUUAUACGGAUGAAUUCUCCCAGUGCGCAUCCAGUCUGGAAAGUCCCUAACAUGCAGAACACCAGCUCCUAGACAUGACUUUCCAAGCAGCUCCACGACUCACUGGCAGCGGGUGUUACUGAUCUUUGAUUAGGAAUGCCAGGACAGGGCAGGCUAAUAAAUGGUUUCUGUACAGUUAGGUUGUAGCCCCUGCUAUGUUACCCCGGGACCAAAGCAGCACUCCGCACAGGUAACACGGGCAAGGCAUCUUCUUCUGCAUUGGCAACCAGAGAGAUCACCUCCUCUCCUAGCCCCAUUCCCAAUUGCAUGCCAUCCCUGUGGCCAUAACAAACUGUUAAUUUGCCACAAGGCUUGCCCUUUGUUUCCAUAUGCAUUUACAGGGGUCUUGCAGGAGGACAUAAAACCAGCACUAGCUAUUAGGCCUGUGUGAAGCAGCUAGUAUUCACUUCGGAUUCGGAUUUGGCCAAUUCGGGGGACAGUGAUUCAAUUCGGUGAUUCGAAUCCCUGCCCUGAUUCGAUUUGGCCAAAUCUCCGAAUCAGCCAGGCCAGGCCCAUCCCCUGCCCCUCUUGCAGCCUGGCAAUGCCUAUGCCGCCCGUCCCAGCUCCUGGCACUUGGGGAAAAAAACCCCCAGCUCAGCAGGUGUUGCCGGACGGGGGGCAAUCCCUGCUGCCCCCCACUGCUCCAUGCUGCAUGGGGGGCUCUGCAUGAGCCCCCAAACCGCCCCCCCAUUGCUCUCCCAGCCCCACCAUGGGUGCCCCGAAUGAGCCAGCUAUGGCCCUUUAAGAAAAAGAGCCCUCAAGAAACCCCCGGACUCACUGCUGCUGCCGGCAGGAGGUGAUCUCUGCUGCCCCCCACCACAUGGGGGGCUCUGCAAGAGCGGUGAGUCCCGGGGCUUUUCUCAUUUUGUUUUUUUUUCUUAAAG